CAGAGACUCCAGUCACCCAGGUUAGACUGUUUUCUCUGCUACCGCACGGCAAACGGUGCCGGAGCGCCAAGUCUUGGACCAAAAGGCUCCUCAACAGCUUACCCCCAUGAUAUAAGACUGCCAAACAAUUAAUAACCCCCCCCCCCGGUACCCCUCUGUAUAUAGCCUCAUUAUUCUUGUGUUACUAUUUAAUUUUUUACUUGAGUCUAUUUGGUAAAUAUGUCCUCGCCAUUUUCUUAACUCUUGAACUGCACUGUUGGUUAAGGGUUUGUAAGUAAGCAUUUCACGGUAAGGUCUACACUUGUAUUCGGCGCAUGUGACAUAUACAGUUUGAUUUGAUUCUAUGGCCAGUUGUCCUGUGAAACAGACCUGGACCGCUAUCUGGAGUCUCAACUCCCUGUGGCGCUUGUAUAACAGAGAUGCCCAUAGUAAUCAAAGCAAUGGGCUGGGUCAAAGGUCACGCCAUAUUCUUGGCAACCUGGGGAAAAAACAGCUACAUUUGUUCCAAGCUGCCAUGUUCAUGUUUCACCCAAUCCUCAAAAAGGAGGGAAAGCAAGCACACAUGUCAACAAAUAAAUAAUGCAUAGUAAUAAUGCGUAGUAAUUAAUACUUUUUUGUUGUUGAAUUUUUCAUACUGACCUGUUGACAUGUGUCUGCCUUCCGGUUUUGGCUUUCAGUUGCUGGUGGACAUCAUUUGCCUCUGCUCCGUCUCACGUGGUGCAGCUCAGUAGUGGGGAUAAAGUCAUGUGCCCCCAACUCACCCCUGAGUUCAUGAGGUCAUCACAUGGCUGGCAGACACACCCUCCUGCCCAGUCAGCCCUGGGGGAGGACAACUCUGAAUCCCAUCCUAUCCAGUGGAGAUACUCUAUUCAGUAUUCACCCAGAGUUUGAAGGAGUGGGGUGGCCGGGCGAAAUGUAAGGGUCCCAACAAGACAACAGCUUUCUUGGUUGCCAUGGAUAUGGAUAAUAAUCUUUCUGCUGAAGGAAGAUACUUGCCAUUUUAUUUGGAGAAAAGACAAACCCACUCUGCACUUGCCAGUAUCACUUGUUCAUUAUGCUGAUGUAUAAGCCUUUGUCAGAGAUUUUCUUACCCUACUUCUCUGAGUUCACCCCUCUGCUGGGCUACUUCAGCCAGCUGCAGUCCCCUGAACCAGGCUCAGUCAGACCCCUGCACGGCUUCACCCCCUACCAGCAGUGGCGGUGGGUGUGAUACACUGUGAGGUAGCACCAGCUCAUGUGCUCUACGCUGCCAAUGGCAGUGGUGAGGCUGUGCGUUCUGAAUGAGAAGGUAUCAGGCAGGGGAGGCCCAGUUCUACUCUCUCAAACCCCUGUCUGUUCCUGCGUGGGAUUUGCCUCCUCUGACAUGCUAGGCUGUCACUAUUCUGUGUGGACAACUGUCAUCUAUCUAGCCGAGAACAGUAAUAAAGUUCGGCAUCUCCCCAUCAUGGAUGAAUAACUCUUCGAAUGGAUGGUGUGAUGGAGGGAUAACAAAGCUCUAAGGUGUCCUUUGGGGAUGUGGACAUGGCACGUGGCCUGUACACCUGUAGCUCCCUCAGGCCUCCGUCAGGUCAACGGUCUUCUGCUGGGUGCUGUCACACUGCCCAACAUCCUCCUCACAGGACAGACAGGAAUUGUGGGAGAGCCUCCCUACGUCAUCAUAGACUACAACUUUGAGCUAACCGGGGCUGGGAAGAUUCACGUCUUCAAGGGGCUUGCAAGACCUGACCAGAUGAAUAACGCAAAGUGAUUGUUUUUGUGAGAAGAGACAAUGGUUUCACAGCAAGAAAUCUGAAAUCGGAAUAUUUUGUUUACUGACUUCAAACACCAAGGCCAGAGUCAAGGCCGUUGAAUGUACAGAACAUAAAGUUCCGGAGAGUUGGACUGUGGAGUUGCCGUGAGUGACUUAAGGCGGCAGGGUAGCCUAGUGGUUAGAGCGUUGGACUAGUAACCGAAAGGUUGCAAGUUCGAAUCCCCGAGCUGACAAUGUACAAAUCUGUCGUUCUGCCCCUGAACAGGCAGUUAACCCACUGUUCCUAGACCAGUUAACCCACUGUUCCUAGGCCAUCAUUGAAAAUAAGAAUUUCUUCUUAACUGACUUGCCUAGUAAAAUGAAAUAAAAAUAUGCUCCAGAUCACUCUUCUCAAGAAGAGAUAGCUAUGAUGGCCACCUUCUUGUAUGGGUCAAUUGGGUUGACCUUGGUCUUCAAUCACCAGAAUUGGAUUGGCCAGUGAUAUUCAUUAGUUCAGGAUGACUGUUUCAAAGUGUUUCUAUCACAUGGACAAUAUCUAGACAUGCAGUUAAAGGUCUGCAUCUGAAAUAGCACCAUAUGACCUAGUGCACCAUAUAGGGAAUAUGGUGCCAUUUCGGACACAAGCUAGGUUUCCAUCCAAUUGGCGACAGAUUCCAUCAAACUGACUUAUUGUGGAUAUAGAGGCUGGGCUGUGCGUGAUGAUCAGUGAUGAUUUUUGCAGAUAAAUCUUGGUGGGGCAAACUCUGAAAAAUGUUUUUAGAUGCAUACCAGCAAAUCCACUACACUAAACAAUACAUUAAUUGCAUUAUAACGGUGACAAAUGGUGCCCACAAAGGACCUACAUAAAGCUGUCCUGACAGCAGAGCUUUCUUUUCAGCACCAUGGAGCGAGCUAGGAUGGACAUAGUCAAUAUAACUAUUUGUUCAGCACUUUUGAAAUGUACAGCGUCAGAAUUCAGAACAUGGGCCUUUCUUACAGUAUUCUCCCUGUAUUCCAAGUGAGAACCGUAGGAUAAAUAUAGGGGACAUUUAAGCAGACAAUGAAAGCUCUUACAAUAUUUGAUGAUUACAUUUUUCUAAAACAGGCUAUAGGCUACAUGUGCACCUCCAAGUCAGAACAGUAGGCUAAGUUAUGAGGGGGAAAGGGAACAAAUUAUUUGGGUGAAGCACAUGCACUACUAACAGCUUACUACACAACAUACACUUAGUAUUACUUUCUUAGCUACAGUAUACAUAUCUCCCUGGCAUAUUACAUAAUUUAUGCAGCAGCAUACAAUACAUUUUUGGACUCACCUUGUGCUGUGCUAACAUGAACAGGAAGGUGGUGCGACGAUCCUUGUGGGCAAGGAUAUAUAUAUAUAUAUAUAUAUAUAUAUAGCCUGUUUUGCAUGUUAUUUUGGCAUUAAUACGUGUCACAUGUCAGUUUGCAAACGAUCAAAAAAAAGUAUAUAUAUAUAUAAGUUAAUAAAGUCGCAUACAAACAUGGUAUCUUUUGAUGCUACAUAAAAUCAGAGAAUGCCAGACUAUAUAGUUCAUGUCAAAAGUUUGGACACCACAUUCCAGGGUUUUUCUUUCUUUAUACUAUUUUCUACAAUGUAGAAUAAUAGUGAAGACAUUGAAACUAUGAAAUAAGACCUAUGAAAUCAUAUAGUAACCAAAGUAUAUUUGAGAUUCUUCAAAGUAUUGCUUUGAUGACCGCUUUCCACACUCUUUUCCAACAAAUACUUUGUUUUGAAAAACUGUUGCAGGUCAAUGUGUCAAUAAGUUAUGAAUCCAUAUAGCACCCAUCCCCCCAGUUAAAGUGAUGAUAUACAAUAUGAGUACUUUCUACAUGUUUGGUUUGUCCAAAAAUAAUAUUUGGCCAAACUACAGGUUCAUUAUUUACAAGUGUUAUUAAUUAAUUGUCCGGACUAGGACAUGAAAGUGCUUGUAGGGGUCUUUGCUGACAAUGAAAAGCAUUAAAAGAAAAUGGAAUGUAACUUGCUCAACAAUCCAUCUCUAGAGCUAUUGUAUAGCACCUAUUGAUAUAUUCCAGAGCAAAUAAAUAUAAGCUCUACACAGCAAUGCGUCCAGUUUCUGGUAUAUAUUUUGUUUUUGGUCAAUUAAAAAAGAAAUCACUGAAUAGUAGUGCACUACGGAUUGUUAGACAGUAUUCCAUCCACGUUUCUUUUUUAAAGCAAGUAAUGGCUGUUGAUGUUUCAAUAAACAUCUCUAUGUUGCAUUUAUUUCUUAGAGUACUGGAUUAUUGCACAUUGAUUUACCUAUUUAGGAAUCUGACCUUGUAACAAAAUGUGAACUAUGUCAUUGAUUUAUGAAUGGUGCGAUUAAGGAGAUCAGUCCAUCUUCCAGAAUUCAAAUGAGACUUACAACCACAUUAAGAACUCCAGGGAAGGAUUGUUACCAAUACUCUAUUCUCUCUUUUUCCAUCAGUUUUUCUUUCCCUUGCUUUCUCUUAUCGCUCCUGUUUCAUCAGGAGUUGUUUGGCAGAAGUUGGAAAUGGGCCUAAAUAAAACAAUUUCAGGUC